rnacentral:tmRNA from 12 species
GGGGGCGCACCGGUUUCGACGGGAUUGAAUCGUUGUGGGAAGGCGUGCCGGGUUCCGAGCUCCCGUAAAACGAUCGGAAAACAACAACUGCCAACAACACGCAGUUUGCAUACGCUGCCUAAUUAAUUAGGUAGCCGCUGCGGUCUCUGGCUCCUGUCUGGAGGCCUGUCGGCGUCUUAAUGCAGGAUGGGCCUAACGCUUCGGUCCGGAGCGGACAGCCGAGAUCAAUCGGGCUAAGCCGACCGGCUCUUGCCGGUUCCUCACCGGUCGGACGAAAACCACCGAAUCGGACACGCACGUAGUCUUUUCAUGGCGGACUUUCUCGGACGCGGGUUCAAUUCCCGCCGCCUCCACCA